rnacentral:lncRNA from 1 species
UAAUUUCCAAAUCACCUUUUUUUUUAUUUCUCCUCUCUACGACUUUUUCAUCUUUUUCGUUUCUCUCUGUCCCGAGUCAACAAUCCGACAAACACAAAGCUUUCAAUCUCUUUUCUUCUUCUUCUUUCUUCUUUUUUUUUUCUCUCUUUUCUCGAUUCCAUCGAUACUCAUUCAUCUUUUUCAUCUUCCCUCUUCACUCGUUUCUAUCGAUCCAAAGAUCCGUCCUCUCUCUUCUUCUUCGUGAGAAAUUCGCAGUGAAAUCGAGAAAUCCGCCGUGAGAACUCCGUCGUGUCUUCUCUUUGUAAGAUUUCAUUUGUUUGAUCCCUAAUUUUGUUUUAUUGUGUUAGGUUUAAUUAGGAUUUGAUUUCUUCCAAUUUCUUCUUCUCUGUGAGGGUUUGAUAUGUAAUUCUCUUUGAUUUUGUUUGAAACAAAUGCAUUUUGAAUGGAAUUUCGAUUACAAUUAGGAUUUUUUAUGAUUACAGUUCGGAUUUUAAGAUUACUAAUAGGAUUUGAAUUACAAUUCGGGUUUGAAAUUCGGACCACAUGUAGCUACUUUUUCUUGUUUUUAUUUGGAGAUAUUGAGUGAAAGUUGUAACUUUGUUUGUAAACUCUUCUUAAAAUGAUUGAUUUCUCUUGGUCAAUUUUGGAAGAAAUCUGGUUUCAAGUAAGUUAAUAAGGAGUGGAUUGCAGACAUAGAUGAAAUUUUUUGUACGUAUAUAUUAGCCUAUAACAUUUGUUUCUCUAUUACGAGAGGAGGAAAAGGAAAAGGAGACUGAGACUGAGACUGAGACUGAGAAGGAGAAGGAGAAAGAGAAGGAUAAGGAGAAGAAGAAGCAGAAGAAGACUUGGUGUGUUCAGAUGUGUUUUGGUUUCUAAUGUUAUGUAUGAAUCUAAGUGUUUAGGUACAAAUGGUACACUUAUGUACAACUAUGUAUCUGGGUUUGUAUGAAUCUAAGUUUUUUUGACAGAAAAAUCACCAAAAAACUAUGAGUCAAAGUGUUUUGAUGAAAAAAUUCACAACAACACUAUGAAUCUACUAAGUAUGUUAAAAAAUAUAU